rnacentral:sRNA from 1 species
AUGGCUACGAAGAAGGACGCGAACGCUCGCUCAUACACUGCACAUGAUUGCGGCCUUUGGGUGGCGACAACUCCAUUGCAGUCGGGUACCCGCGCGGAGUUAGAGCGUUUUAGUGUUUCAUCAAGAUACUCAACGCUCUAACCUCUUGAAAUGGCGCACUUCCGGACGGAAAACCGUUACAUGCUUUUUCUGGAAGUGCUCUCGCGCCAC